rnacentral:misc_RNA from 1 species
CAGAACUACUGUCACACACAGAUGCAACUCUAGAGGAGUGGUCGAGGGUUCUUGACCAGCUAAAUCAAGAUGAAGAACCCUGGUCAGGAGUAUUGGAAGAGAUAAAAAAUUAUUUGCCAUUGUAUUUGAGGCGAUGUCUCUUUUAUUUUGGAUUAUUCCCGGCAGGCUAUAAGAUCCCUGCAAGAAGAUUGAUUGCCUUGUGGGUUGCUGAGGGUUUGGGGCAUCAACAGGGUGAUGCAAAGUCCCCUGAAUACGUUGCAGAGACAUGCUUGAGAGAGUUAAUUAACUAUACUAUUGUUCAGGUGACAGAAAGCAAACUCAAUGGAAAGGUUAAGACGUGCUGCCUACCAGAGGCUCUGCAAGUACACUGGUUUAAAAAAGCCAAGGAAGCUAAAUUUCUUCAAGGUCACUCCAACAUCUCUGACACUGACAUUGGUGUAAUACGCCGUCUUGCUGACCAUCUUCAGCAGAAUGAUGCCGUCUUUGAUGAUAUUCAUCAUUUCAACAAUACUUCCUCAUUCUCUCGCUACAGAGAUGUGGUUUCCUUUAUAUCCUUUGAUACUCGAGAAGGAAGCAAAC